rnacentral:rRNA from 1 species
UGGGGAAUAUUGCACAAUGGGCGCAAGCCUGAUGCAGCCAUGCCGCGUGUGUGAAGAAGGCCUUCGGGUUGUAAAGCACUUUCAGCGGGGAGGAAGGCGGUGAGGUUAAUAACCUUGUCGAUUGACGUUACCCGCAGAAGAAGCACCGGCUAACUCCGUGCCAGCAGCCGCGGUAAUACGGAGGGUGCAAGCGUUAAUCGGAAUUACUGGGCGUAAAGCGCACGCAGGCGGUCUGGCAAGUCGGAUGUGAAAUCCCCGGGCUCAACCUGGGAACUGCAUUCGAAACUGGCAGGCUAGAGUCUUGUAGAGGGGGGUAGAAUUCCAGGUGUAGCGGUGAAAUGCGUAGAGAUCUGGAGGAAUACCGGUGGCGAAGGCGGCCCCCUGGACAAAGACUGACGCUCAGGUGCGAAAGCGGGGGGAGCAAACAGG